UCAAUCCUGUCAACACCAGCACCGGCCU
rnacentral:piRNA from 1 species